CCAGCAGUCGCGGUUAGACGAAUAAUGCGAGUAAAUUUUAUUGGAUUGAGUUAGAUUUAUUUUUAUUUAUUUAUAAUAAAUUUAUUAGGUGAAAUUUUAAAUUUAUUAAAUUAAUUUUUAUAUUAAUUGAAGCUUGGAAAUUUUAAUGAAAAACUAGGAUUAGAUACCCUAUUAUUUAAAAUUGAAUUUAAAUCUUAGGUAGUAGUAGUUAUGAUCUUGAAACUUAAAAAAUUUGGCGGUAUUUUAGUCUGUCCAGAGGAACCUGUUCUGUAAUCGAUAAUCCACGUUGGACCUUACUUAAUAAUGUUUUCAGUUUAUAUACCGUUGUUAUAAGAAUAUUUUAUAAGGAUAAUAAUUUUCUUUAAUUUUUAUUAAAAUUUAUAUCAGAUCAAGGUGUAGCUAAUGAUUAAGUAGAAAUGGGUUACAAUAAAUUUAUUUAUAUGGAUAAAGAUAUGAAAAAUUUUUUGAAGGUGGAUUUGGUAGUAAAUUUAUAAAUAUUAUUAAUUUGAUUUUAGCUCUAAAAUAUGC
rnacentral:rRNA from 1 species